GAUGAACGCUGGCGGCGUGCCUAAUACAUGCAAGUCGAACGGACAGACGAUGAUCUUGCUCCGCGCACGUUUGCGGCGGACGGGUGAGUAACGCGUGGAUCACCCACCUGUAAGUCGGAUAUAACUUCGGGACACCGGCGAUAAUACGGGAGGAUAUAUUGAACCGCAUGGUUGAAUGGAAAGAGACGGUUUUGCUGUCUCUUCUAGCUGGUUCCGCGCCGCAUGAGCUAGUUGGUAAGGUAACGGCUUACCAAGGCAAGGAUGCGUAGCCGACCUGAGAGGGUGAUCGGCCACACUGGAACUGAGACACGGACCAGACUCCUACGGGAGGCACCAGUAGGGAACGGGCCGCAAUGGUCGAAAGCAUGACGGAGCAACGCCGCGUGAGUGAUGACGACCUUCGGAGCGUAAAACCCGGUUAUGAGGUAAGAACAAAUUUGUAAGGAAAUAUGGACGUAUUGACGGUACCGAAUCAGAAAGCCACGGCUAACUACGUG
rnacentral:rRNA from 1 species